GGAGAAGAAGUCCUUCCAGAAACGUCCACAAACCCAUGUCCUGCUUGAUAAAAGAUUAACUGCAGGAGAAGUUGAUAGAGUAGAUCGAUCGCUGAAAGUAAUCUCCGUUCUCCGCUUUGCUUCCAAGAACACGGCUCAAG